GCUGCUCUCACCAAGCUUGGUUUUGUUCUCUUCUUUAUUAGGAUGUUAGCUGCCGCUCACUGUUUGUCUGCUGGCUUUAUUAAAGGAAAACUUCCACAACAAGAUGGCGUCAUAAACAGGAUGGCCUGUGUGGUCGCUGGACAACGGUUCUAUGGACGGGCUGAUCACCCCUGAGGGAAAAAGGUACCUCUGUCCUACCGGCUGUUGAAGCGAAAGAAAAUGGAGGAGUUGCGGAACCAUGUGUUUUAGCCACCACCGAGACCAUUGACUCUGAGAGGACUCCUGCCGAUGGUUAGGAACAUAUUGAGAAAAUGGAAGACCACAGGCUCAGUUCAAGUUAAGGCUCGAAGUGGCAGACCAAGGAAAAUCUCGGAUAGACAGAAGCGACGAAUGGUGAGAACAGUCAGAGUCAACCCACAGACCGACACCAAGACCUACAACAUCAUCUUGCAGCAGAUGGAGUCACUGUGCAUCACUGUGCUAAAGCACAUUUGGACAAGCCAGCUUCAUUCUGGAAUAAGGUGCUGUGGACUGAUGAAACUAAAAUUGAGUUAUUUGGACAAAACAAGGGGCGUUAUGCAUGGAGGGAAAAGAACACAGCAUUCCAAGAAAAACACCUGCUACCUACAGUAAAAUUCAACCUACAGCUGCUUUGGAAUGGAAACUGAGGGAUGAAGAGAGCGUGCCAAGCUCCAACUGAGUGACAGCGCAGAGAGAGAUCAGUGAUGGAACGAUGACUCUUUAAACAGCACAAACACCAGGAGCCUUGACCCUGACUGGAAAUGACUGACAACAAUUUCCCAUGAAUGGGAACACGUAAUGCUGUUUCAUUUUGCCAUGCAUAAUUUGAUAUUCUGGAAAAGGUCUUUCCUUUGUAUCAUUGUUGUUAUCUUUUGUAUGUGGGAGCUUAGAUUGUGAGGAUGAUUGGAGAUGAACAAAUGGUGGUAAGAGAAUAGUGAAGUGAGGAAGCACAGUGUGGAACUACGUUAAGUGUACAGUGGUGUUGAUGUGGCAUACAGAAUGUCAGGAAAGAAAUUCUGUUAUUAAUGUGAUUCUUAAUUGAUUGAAGAAUCAAGAGUUACUUCAGCUCACCCCAGAUUGUCUGGGAGUGGGGGCGGGGUAGCCUCUAUCAUCAAAGACUGUAUCGGUUUGCAUUUAAAACAAAGUUCUGG
ensembl:lncRNA